AUGGACGACGACGAACUCCUUUUACUUUACCUACAAGAUCGAGGGCUGUGCGAAAACAGGGGAGGGAGGUCCAGGAGAGACAAUGUACUUAUUUCUUGUAGACAUGAUGAUGGCGAUGACGAUGAUGGUGGUUCACCGGCCGUCGGCGGAGGUGAAGGACUCGGCGAACCCCGCGGGCCGGGCGGGGAUGCUGCCCUUGCUGUCUUCCAGGCUCAGGCUCAUGAUGCUCCCGUCCGUCAUGCUCGCCUCCGACUCCUGCCACCCCUUCACCAUCUGGAGCAGCGGCAGGUGCAGGUCGAUGCCCAUGUAGUCCUCCGCCUCGUUGUUCGACGGCUUCCAUUUCUCCACCAUGGGCACCAGCACCGUCACGGCGUGGCCCAUGUCCGGCCGCUGCGAGGGCUCCCGGGAGGUGCAGUGGCCGGCCAGCUCCGCAACCACCGAGAUGCUCUCGAAAAUCUCGUCGGUGAGCUCAAGGGUCGGGUCGAUGGCUGCCCUGAACUUCUCUUCAUCCUUCCUUAUCUGACCGAACCAGGAGGCCAGAUACCGGGUUUCCUCGUCGAUACGUCUCUCGUCGAUGGCAGUCAUUCCGGUUAUCAGCUCCAUCAGCACCACCCCGAAGCUGAAAACAUCCGCUUUUGUUGUGAUUUUCCCGGUAACUCAUAUUCGGGUGCCAAAUAUCCAAAAGUUCCAGCGAGUCUGGUUGCCACAGAGAAGUUCCCGUCCGGCGCAGAUUUAAGGAGCCCGAAAUCCGACACCUUUGCUCGGAAAUCAUCGCCAAGUAGAAUAUUUGCCGACUUAAGAUCCCUGUGA
rnacentral:rRNA from 1 species